AUUGAACGCUGGCGGCAGGCUUAACACAUGCAAGUCGGACGGUAACAGGGAGGAAGCUUGCUUUCUUUGCUGACGAGUGGCGGACGGGUGAGUAAUGCUUGGGAAUCUGUUUUAUGGAGGGGGAUAACUACGGGAAACUGUAGCUAAUACCGCGUAAUAUCGAGAGAUUAAAGUGUGGGACCGUAAGGCCACAUGCCAUAGAGUGAGCCCAAGUGGGAUUAGGUAGUUGGUGGGGUAAAGGCCUACCAAGCCGUCGAUCUCUAGCUGGUCUGAGAGGAUGACCAGCCACACUGGGACUGAGACACGGCCCAGACUCCUACGGGAGGCAGCAGUGGGGAAUAUUGCACAAUGGGCGCAAGCCUGAUGCAGCCAUGCCGCGUGAAUGAAGAAGGCCUUCGGGUUGUAAAGUUCUUUCGGUGGUGAGGAAGGUUGUAAUGUUAAUAGCAUUAUAAUUUGACGUUAGCCACAGAAGAAGCACCGGCUAACUCCGUGCCAGCAGCCGCGGUAAUACGGAGGGUGCGAGCGUUAAUCGGAAUAACUGGGCGUAAAGGGCACGCAGGCGGAUACUUAAGUGAGGUGUGAAAGCCCUGGGCUUAACCUAGGAAUUGCAUUUCAUACUGGGUAUCUAGAGUAUUUUAGGGAGGGGUAGAAUUCCACGUGUAGCGGUGAAAUGCGUAGAGAUGUGGAGGAAUACCGAAGGCGAAGGCAGCCCCUUGGGGGAAUACUGACGCUCAUGUGCGAAAGCGUAGGGAGCAAACAGG
rnacentral:rRNA from 1 species